GAAGGGGGCUAGCGUUGCUCGGAAUCACUGGGCGUAAAGGGCGCGUAGGCGGCCAUUCAAGUCGGGGGUGAAAGCCUGUGGCUCAACCACAGAAUUGCCUUCGAUACUGUUUGGCUUGAGUAUGGCAGAGGUCAGUGGAACUGCGAGUGUAGAGGUGAAAUUCGUAGAUAUUCGCAAGAACACCAGUGGCGAAGGCGGCUGACUGGGCCAUUACUGACGCUGAGGCGCGAAAGCGUGGGGAGCAAACAGGAUUAGAUACCCUGGUAGUCCACGCCCGUAAACGAUGAAUGCUAGCUGUUGGGGUGCUUGCACCGCAGUAGCGCAGCUAACGCUUUAAAGCAUUCCGCCUGGGGAGUACGGUCGCAAGAUUA
rnacentral:rRNA from 1 species